ncrna:Streptomyces sp. CcalMP-8W NLPC-P60 RNA
CGGUGCUUGCAUCACCUGACACCGGGUGACCGGAUUAAUCGGAUGAGAUCCCUUGCCCAGGGACGGGUCCGGCUUCUCCGGGGCCGUCCCCGUCACGGAGGU